CUGGUUGAUCCUGCCAGACCCGACUGCUAUCGGAUUGGGACUAAGCCAUGCGAGUCAACUCCGCAAGGGGUGGCGCACGGCUCAGUAACACGUAGUCAACCUACCCUGGGGACGGGGAUAACCUCGGGAAACUGAGGCUAAACCCCGAUGGGCCAUGGCUCCUGGAAUGGGCUAUGGCUGAAAUCUACAUGGCCCCAGGAUGGGACUGCGGCCGAUCAGGUUGUUGGUGGGGUAAUGGCCCACCAAGCCUAUAGCCGGUGCGGGCUCUGAGAGGAGGAGCCCGGAGAUGGGCACUGAGACAAGGGCCCAGGUCCUAUGGGGCGCAGCAGGCGCGAAACCUCCGCAAUGGGCGAAAGCCCGACGGGGUCAGUCCGAGUGGUUCCCGCUGAGGGAACCUUUUGCCAGCUGUAAACAGGCUGGCGAAUAAGGGGUGGGCAAGUUUGGUGUCAGCCGCCGCGGUAAUACCAGCACCCCGAGUGGUCGGGACGAUUAUUGGGCCUAAAGCAUCCGUAGCCGGCCCAGUAAGUCCUCCGUUAAAUCCAACGGCUCAACCGUUGGGCUGCGGGGGAUACUGCUGGGCUAGGGGACGGGAGAGGCGAGGGGUAUUCCCGGGGUAGGGGUAAAAUCCACUGAUCCCGGGAGGACCACCAGUGGCGAAGGCGCCUCGCUAGAACGUGCCCGACGGUGAGGGAUGAAAGCUGGGGGAGCGAACCGGAUUAGAUACCCGGGUAGUCCCAGCCGUAAACGAUGUAGGCUCGGUGUUGGGCUGCCUCAGUGGCAGCCCAGUGCCGCAGGGAAGCCGUUAAGCCUACCGCCUGGGGAGUACGGCCGCAAGGCUGAAACUUAAAGGAAUUGGCGGGGGAGCACCAC
rnacentral:rRNA from 1 species